AUACAAUUGCGCCGUUUUGGUGCCCGCCGGCGUGUCCUCGCCGGCAGUUAAACGGGAAACACGCCCCAUUAGCAGUUUGCAUGCCCGCCGCAUGCCGAUGCCGGGCCAACGUGUGCUGCCCCCGCAACGGUAAUCAGGCGCCGGCGUCGAUACGUUUCGUUCCGUCUUGCCGGCCAUCCAUCCCCCAGCCACUGUGCCCGCGGCGCGCGCCGCGCAUGGGAAGGCCGAUGGAGACGCCUGAAGCCCGGAUACCGGCCAGGACGGGGGGAAGCCC
rnacentral:ncRNA from 2 species